rnacentral:tRNA from 1 species
GCGAGAGUGGUGGAACUGGCAGACACGCUAGACUUAGGAUCUAGUACCUUCGGUGUGAGGGUUCAAAUCCCUCCUCUCGCA